rnacentral:rRNA from 1 species
GAUGAACGCUGGCGGCGUGCUUAAUACAUGCAAGUCGAGCGAACAGACGAGGAGCUUGCUCCUCUGACGUUAGCGGAGGACGGGUGUGUAACACGUGGAUAACCUACCUAUAAGACUGGGAUAACUUCGGGAAACCGGCGCUAAUACCGGAUAAUAUAUUGAACCGCAUGGUUCAAUAGUGAAAGACGGUUUUGCUGUCACUUAUAGAUGGAUCCGCGCCGCAUUAGCUAGUUGGUAAGGUAACGGCUUACCAAGGCAACGAUGCGUAGCCGACCUGAGAGGGUGAUCGGCCGCACUGGAGCUGAGACACGGUCCAGACUCCUGCGAGAGGCAGCAGUAGCGAAUCUGCCGCAAUAGUCGGAAGCUUGGCGGAGCAGCGCCGCGUGAGAGAUGAAGGUGUUCGGAGCGGAAAACUCUGUUAUUAGGUGAGAACAAAUGUGUAAGUAACUAUGCACGUCGUGACGGUACCUAGUCAGAAAGCCACGGCUAACUACGUG